CCACCACUACCACAACAGCACCCACAACAGCUCCAGAAACUACCACAACAGCUGCUGCAACUACCAUAACAGCUGUAUCAACUACCACAACAGCUGCUGCAACCACUACAACAGCACCCACAAGAGCUCCAGAAACUACCACAACAGCUGCUGCAACCACCACAACAGCUCCAGCAUCUACCACAACAGCUCCCACCACUACCACAACAGCACCUACAAGAGCUCCAGAAACUACCACAACAGCUGCUGCAACCACCACAACAGCCCCAAUAACAGCUGCAGCAAUUACCACAACAGCUACCACCACUACCACAACAGCACCCACAACAGCUCCAGAAACUAGCACAACAGCUGCUGCAACCACCACAACAGCUCCAGCAAGCACCACAACAGCUGCUGCAACUACCACAACAGCUGCUACAACCACCCCAACAGCUGCUGCAACUACCACAAGAGCUGCAUCAACUACCACAACAGCUCCAGCAACCACAACAACAGCUCCAGCAACCACCACAACAGCGGCUGCACCUACCACAACAGCUGCUGCAACCACCACAACAGCUCCAGCAACUACCACAACAGCUCCAGCAUCUACCACAACAGGUCCCACCACUACCACAACAGCACCCACAACAGCUCCAGAAACUACCACAACAGCUGCUGCAACCACCACAACAGCACCCACAACAGCUGCCACCAUUACCACAACAGGUCCCACCACUACCACAACAGCACCCACAAGAGCUCCAGUAACUACCACAACAGCGGCUGCAACCACCACAACAGCACCCACAGCAGCUCCCACCACUACCACAACAGCUGCUGCAACUACAACAACGGCAGCCACAAAAGAACCCACAAUAUCUGCCGCCACUACCGCUAAGGCCCCCACAACAGCUGCUGCAACCAUCACAACAGCCCCCAUAACAGCUGCAGCAAUUACCACAACAGCUACCACCACUACCACAACAGCACCCACAACAAAUCCAGAAACUACCACAACAACUCCAGCAACCACCACUACAGCUCCAGCAUCUACCACAACAUCUCCCACAACAGCUCCCACCAAUACCACAACAGCUGCUGCAACCACCUCAACAGCACCCACAACAGGUUCCCAAACCACCACAACAGAAGCUGCCCCAACCACCACAGCAGCACCCAUAACAGCUGCUGCAAGCACCACAACAGCUCCAACAUCUACCACAACAGCUCCCACCACUACCACAACAGCAACCACAACAGCUGCUGCAACCACCACAACAGCUCCAGAAACUACCACAACAGCUGCUGCAACCACCACAACAGCUGCUGCAACUACCACAACAGCUCCAGAAACUACCACAACAGCUGCUGCAACCACCACAACAGCUGCUUCAACUACCACUUCAGCUGCAGCAACUACCACAACAGCCACUGCAACCACCACAACAGCACCCACAGCAGCUCCCACCACUACCACAACAGCUGCUGCAACUACAACAACGGAAGCCACAACAGAACCCACAACAUCUGCCACCACUACCACAAAGGCCCCUACAACAGCUGCUGCAACCACCACAACAGCCCCCAUUACAGCUGCAGCAAUUACCACAACAACUACCACCACUACCACAACAGCACCCACAACAGCUUCAGCAACUACCACAACAGCUCCUGCAACUACAACAACGGAAGCCACAACAGAACCCACAACAUCUGCCACCACUACCACAAAGGCCCCUACAACAGCUAUUGCAAGCACCACAACAGCCCCCUUUACAGCUGCAGCAAUUACCACAACAACUACCACCACUACCACAACAGCACCCACAACAGCUUCAGAAACUACCAAAACAGCUGCUGCAACUACCACAACAGCUCCAGCAACCACCACAACAGCUGCUGCAACUACCACAAGAGCUACUAAAACCACCACAAAAGCUGCUUCAACUACCACAACAGCUGCAGCAACUACUAAAACAGCUGCUGCAAAAACCACAACAGCACCCACAGCAGCUCGCACCACCACCACAACAGCUGCUGCAACUAAAACAACGGCAGCCACAACAGAACCCACAACAUCUGCCACCACUACCACAAAGGCCCCCACAACAGCUGCUGCAACCACCACAACAGCCCCCAUAACAACUUCAGCAAUUACCACAACAGCUACCACUACUACCACAACAGCUCACGCAUCUACCACAACAGCUCUCACAACAGCUCCCACCACUACCACAACAGCUCCACAAACUUACACAACAGCGGCUGCAACCAACACAAUAGCUAUUGCAAGUACCACAACAGCUUUAGCAACUACCACAACAGAACCCACAACAUCUGCCACCACUACCAUAAAGGCCCCCACAACAGCUGCUGCAACCACCACAACAGCCCCCUUUACAACUGCAGCAAUUACCACAACGACUACCACCACUACCACAACAGCACCAACAACAGCUCCAGAAACUACCACAACAGCUGCUGCAACCACCACAACAGCUCCCGCAACUACCACAACAGCUCCAGAAACAACCAAAACAGCUGCUACAACCACCACAACAGCACCAGUAACUACCACAACAGCUGCUUCAACCACCAAAACAGCUCCAGCAACCACCACAACAGCUGCUGCAACUACCACAACCGCUCCAGUAGCCACUACAACAGCUGCUGCAACUACCACAAGAGCUACUGCAACCACCACAACAGCUGCUUCAACUACCACAACAGCUGCAGCAACUACCACAACAGCUGCUGCAACCACCACAACAGCACCCACAGCAGCUCCCACCACUACCACAACAGCUGCUGCAACUACAACAAUGGCAGCCACAACAGAACCCACAUCUGCCACCACUACCACAAAGGGCCCCACAACAGCUGCUACAACUACCACAACAGCUGCGGCAACUACCACAACAGCCCCCACAACCACCACGACCAACACAACAGCCCCCACAACAGCACCCACCACGACCACCACAACAGCCCCCACAACAACCACCACGACCACCACAACAGCCCCCACAACAACAACGAAUGGCACAGCCAUCAGCGGCAGCAACUCUGGUGACGUCAGCAGCAGGAUCAGCCUCUUCACCACCUUCAGCCUCACCCUCCUCUCCGUGCUCGUCACACGGCCGUGGUAGCCG
ensembl:lncRNA